UCACUAUUAUUGUCUAAUUGGUAACUAUUUCAGAGAUCCUGUUCCUGAUACUCCAUGUUGGUGUGGGACUGUGGGUCACCGACUCACCGUUAAGUUGGUAACGGCAUUAGCAAUUUAGCAAUGGAGCAAUUUAGCACUUGAAAGCUGCAGCAAGUUGAACGUUCACUUAACCUAACUGUAUCGUCAAUUUCAUUGAGCUUUAUGCAUAGCAAAUUGAGAAAUCGGUUCCAUGAUAAAGAACUCUUCAUGAGGAGGUGUAAGAAAAUGCAGAUAGCUACAAAAUCGCCAAACUUACUGGAAGAUACAUAUGCAAUAGUGUAUUAUAGUGGAUCCAUGUAUGGACAGUAUACCAAAGAAUAAUUUUCAUCAAGAUUGGAUCUCUUGUGACAGUCACUGUACUUGGAGCAAUGGAUCAAAGUAUGCUGAGCUGAUAGCAACUUAUCACAGUCAACAGACUGGAGCACUGUUCCCUAAUAGAAUAUACCAAUGGGUUAAGGUGGCAGAGCUGGAAAUCGAACUCGCAACUACCGAUCAGUAGGCGAGUACAUAACCCACUUCUCCGAGGAACUCUUUGAAGUCCAGAACAACUAACCUCAAGAGACGCACAUUUGGCUAAAGAGACCCGUGAGUUUAGUUGCUGGCUAAAGGGGACUGGAGAGUUCAGUUGCUAUGUCAUUUACUGCCCACUGAAGUAAUGGAAACGCCACUCAAUCUAGCCAAAUUGUAUGGAGCAUAAUAUUAAUGCCCACCAGGAGUGAAUCCAUCCACCACUCAAAACCUGUUAUUGCUACUUAUAUGAUGGUAUCUGUCCAUGAAGGGUGCAAGUUAAAGUAAAAGUAAAGACAGCAAAGCUGCUGAAUACCAUCAGGAAAGCUGAAAAGAACCCUACUGCACAUGAAGAUUACACCUACCUGACAAGGGAUUAUAAGUAAUUCCUUCAUUGCAGAAAAACACUAAGGAUAUAAAAGAGUGAAACAAAGCGAUUUAAAUUACUUAAAAACAUUAAGAUAAUCAUGGUAACAUCAGAAAAAUAUGCAGUGAUCUGAUGAAUUUAGUGAGCUGUGUUCAGUAUUAUAAACUCUAAGUGAGGCUGUCAACUGUUCAGUCCAGGGACCUGUGUGCGCAUGCAUAUGACUAACUCCACUCUAAUUUUGUCUGUGAAACAAAUCAUUCUUUCAGAAUGUUGAAAAUCAAAACACACAGAGAAAACCCAUUACCUUUACAGAGGAAAGAAGAAAUGUACAAUAAUCAACUGGUGAGAGGAGAGCAAGAGAGACUACUCUCCAAAUUGGGCAAAGAAGGAAUAUUGUGUCAAAAGGUUCUAUGCCUGGUCAGUGAACAGCUUCCACCUCAUAUAAGCAUGAGCUGCAAGAUGCCACAGAUUCCUUGCUUUACAAUCUUUGAUUGUUUUUAACCAGUUUCCAGCUGGCACAAGAAGAUAAUCCUGUCCUAUUGUUAAGACCGAGGUUUUGUUCCACAUAUGAACAAAUAAGUUUAGGGUUAUGGGUUCUUGCAUCAUAAAUACAACAUGGCUUGGAAAUUAUACUAAAUUAAUAAACAAAACUGACAUGAAAAAUCUAACCUAAAGCAAUGCAUUUAGUGCCUAAAUUUGCCUUACCUGAACGGAGCUAUAACAUCUUUUUUACAUUCAAAGGUAGAUUCUCGUGUGAGCGUGUUGUACCAGUACUUCCUGUUUUGGCCCUUGCUGAAUGCCAUCAUCCAAGGCUCUAGAAUUAGUAAAGAAAAAAAUUAAAAUGGGAAAAAUAACAUUUGAGUGCCUACAUCAACCAUAAUCUAAUACAUUCAACCUCAUUACUUCAACUCCGCCAAUUCAUGGACCUGCAUGAAUACUUCAACAAUUAUUAUAGAUAAGCACAUACACGUAUGGCUCUCUAGGUUUUCCAAGCAUAGGCAAUCUCACUUUAACUGGCCAAGUUGUUGUGACAGAACAAGGGGACAAGGAGAAAGGUAAUUAAGGUUACAGUAAUGGCUCCACAGGGCUCCAAUAACACUUCUGCGACCAUUAUUGGGCAAACACAAGCAUAGGCCCACUGACCAGGAUAAUCAAAAUGUCUCAAUACUGUCUGUGUUUCAAGAGCACCCGUGGAAUUUUAGUCAUCUCUAAGGAAACAGGCUCUUAACUUCCACCCACCAACAUGAAUCAUUUUCAUGCCUGUCAUCAGCAAUUGCACACUUACCAGUGACAUCAACUUCACAAGGAGUAUUUAUUGCCGAAUUAAGAAAGUUUGUGACUGAUUGAAUAUAGAAUUUAGGCCACAGGCAAAGCACUGGGACCUAUGAGGUCAUUCAGUGGUGCAAUGGAAAUUGACAGUAAAAAGUUUGAAAAGUGUACUAGAAGGUAAACCUCACAGUUGUUCGGAGAGGGUAGAAUGUGAAAGGAGGUACAACAAAAAGAACGAAAGUGGUUGCAGCACGGACAGAACUACCCUUAACGUGGGAGUUUCUAUGCUUUUAUGAACACGACUAAAGUUGAAAAACAAGAUAUUACUGCCUAGUUUAAAUUCACUUGUCAUUACCAUCCUUGUUCAUAUCACACUAAGAUUUGGUAUAAAUAAUUAGGAUUUGGAAAUAUCUUUCAUAGAAGCAAUGUAAUUUAAGCUGUCUUACCAAUGUGAUAGGCUGAGGUGGAUAAAAUGUCUGAAAAAGUAUGUACACAUCUAGAUCUACUAUUAAGAGAUUAAAAACAAAAGUUCAGUUUGUGGUAAGUUUCACAGAUAAAAUUUCAUACAGUAUAUGAAUUUAUUACCAUUUGUUGCUUUAAGAAGCAAUAGUGCUGUGGGUACAGUAUAAAAUGUUUCACGAUCCGAAUCGCCUUCCACUUCUGUGUACACUCUCCUUGGAAGAGCUCCGCCUUUCAUAAGUCGGUGAUGUAGCCUGAAAAAAUUAAUUUGCAAACCUAUUAUUAAUAAUAUACAUUCUUCAACCACACAAAUAACUGCCAUUCUUAACAUGUAGUUAUCUUAAUGAAAUUACAUCUAAUUACUGUACUGAACUUUAAUUCAAUGGUGUCAUAACCUGAAACAUUGAGGUUCUCACAGUUUCCGAAAGGGAUUGGUUUGUUCCUUAACUUGAUAUAAAAAAAAAAACAA